UACAGAGGUCCCGAGCGUUGUUCGGAUUCACUGGGCGGAAAGGGUGCGUAGGCGGUCGGGUAAGUCUGAUGUGAAAUCUCACAGCUUAACUGUGAAACUGCAUUGGAUACUAUUCGGCUUGAGAGUUGGAGGGGGGACUGGAAUUCUUGGUGUAGCAGUGAAAUGCGUAGAUAUCAAGAGGAACACCAGUGGCGAAGGCGAGUCCCUGGACAACUUCUGACGCUGAGGCACGAAAGCUAGGGGAGCAAACAGG
rnacentral:rRNA from 1 species